GAUGAAGAAGUAGCGAAAUGCGAUAAGUAAUGCGAAUUGCAGAAUUCAGUGAGUCAUCGAAUCUUUGAACGCACAUUGCGCCCUGUGGUAUUCCGCAGGGCAUGCCUGUUCGAGCGUCAUUUCAACCCUCAAGCUCUGCUUGGUGUUGGGCCCUGCCCGCUGCGGCCGGCCCUAAAGACAGUGGCGGUGCCGCCUGGCCCUGAGCGUAGUACAUCUCUCGCUCCAGUGCCCGGUGGUAGCCUGCCAGAACCCCAACUCUCGUGGUUGACCUCGGAUCAGGUAGGGAUACCCGCUGAACUUAAGCAUAUCAAUAAGCGGAGGA
rnacentral:misc_RNA from 1 species